CCUACGGGAGGCAGCAGUGGGGAAUAUUGCACAAUGGGCGAAAGCCUGAUGCAGCGACGCCGCGUGAGGGAUGACGGCCUUCGGGUUGUAAACCUCUUUCAGCAGGGAAGAAGCGAAAGUGACGGUACCUGCAGAAGAAGCACCGGCUAACUACGUGCCAGCAGCCGCGGUAAUACGUAGGGUGCGAGCGUUGUCCGGAAUUAUUGGGCGUAAAGAGCUUGUAGGCGGUUUGUCGCGUCUGCUGUGAAAAUCCGGGGUUCAACCCCGGACUUGCAGUGGGUACGGGCAGACUAGAGUGUGGUAGGGGGGACUGGAAUUCCUGGUGUAGCGGUGAAAUGCGCAGAUAUCAGGAGGAACACCGAUGGCGAAGGCAGGUCUCUGGGCCACUACUGACGCUGAGAAGCGAAAGCAUGGGGAGCGAACAGGAUUAGAUACCCUGGUAGUCCAUGCCGUAAACGUUGGGCGCUAGGUGUGGGACUCAUUCCACGAGUUCCGUGCCGCAGCUAACGCAUUAAGCGCCCCGCCUGGGGAGUACGGCCGCAAGGCUAAAACUCAAAGGAAUUGACGG
rnacentral:rRNA from 1 species